rnacentral:rRNA from 1 species
AACGAACGCUGGCGGCAGGCCUAACACAUGCAAGUCGAGCGAAGCCUUCGGGCUUAGCGGCGGACGGGUGAGUAACGCGUGGGAACGUGCCCUUUGCUACGGAAUAGCCCCGGGAAACUGGGAGUAAUACCGUAUGUGCCCUUCGGGGGAAAGAUUUAUCGGCAAAGGAUCGGCCCGCGUUGGAUUAGGUGGUUGGUGGGGUAAUGGCCUACCAAGCCGACGAUCCAUAGCUGGUUUGAGAGGAUGAUCAGCCACACUGGGACUGAGACACGGCCCAGACUCCUACGGGAGGCAGCAGUGGGGAAUCUUAGACAAUGGGCGCAAGCCUGAUCUAGCCAUGCCGCGUGAUCGAUGAAGGCCUUAGGGUUGUAAAGAUCUUUCAGGUGGGAAGAUAAUGACUGUACCACCAGAAGAAGCCCCGGCUAACUCCGUGCCAGCCGCCGCCGUAA